rnacentral:lncRNA from 1 species
AGAGAUUUGAAAGUGUCAAGGGCUUAGGGCUAAAUUAGUUGGAGGGAUAUGAAAGACUAGAUGCAAUGCAUUAAGAGGGAUUUGUAAUGACUGCUUGAAAGGAGACAUUUAUAAAUACUUUGUUUAUGUGUGUAAUGAUCAUGUAGUGCAUUUUAAAUGUCUAUAUCCUUCAUCCAAACAUAGGGUGAGAGAACUAGGAGUUUUAGCAUACACAACUCACUGACAUAGGACAAUACAAAUUAAGGCAAAACAAACAGAUGUCAAAAUCCAAAAUGCCUUACUUCUUUGAGUCAUUAUGUGUGCAUUAUGCCCUUAUCAGACCCCUUGCUUUUUUGUUUAUGAAAACUCUGGGAAGACUAUGAAGAUCGUGAGGAAAGAAUAUCUCCGCAUAGAAAUCCAAAAAGCCCCAUAAGCGAAGCAUUUCCAAAUUUCUGAGUAUACGAGCACAAGCAUUGCAGGUGAUCCUGAACCAUGUGGCAAAACCUGUUUGCGAUGUCUACAUUAAACUCCUCAAAACAACGCCCGUAUUGUAGGAUUCUCACAGAACAACUUGAAAUAACCAAGAAGUAUGGCAGACUUCCAUAACGAGUGGAGAUAUAGAGCUCAUGGUUCAGAUUGAUGCCUUGCAUUGGUCCUUCGGAAACCCUGAAAUAAAAUUAGAAAAGGAAUCUUGUGACUUAUUGCUCUUUUCUUAAUUUAUUCAUAUUUGUCCAGCCAAUCAAAGUGGUAACAAGUUAGAAACCUUGAUUCUAAGUUCCAAAUGUAGAAUAUCAAAGUACCUUGAUUCUAAGCGAAGCAUUUUCAAAAUUUCAGACUAUAUGAGCACAAGCAUUGCAGGUAAUCCGGAACGAUGUGUCAAAACCUGUUAGCGACGUCUACAUUAAACUCCUGAAAACAAUGGUCGUAUUGUAGGGUCCUCACAGAACAACCUUGAUAUAACAAACAAGUAAGACAGAUUGUGCUGCCCUUCAAUAGAAUACCAAGUAUCCUUACAUAUAUGCACAUAUCUUAGAUUAGUUAAUGUAUAAAGUAUAUUCCUUUCGGACAAAGUACCUGUCGAUUGAUCUAUUAAUAAAGUUAGCAGCAUGUGCUGCCCUUCAAGAACAAAUUCCCUGGUUGAUCCUGCUGAAAUGGCCAGAAUAAGUUACUUUCAAAAUACGAGGACCUGUAAAUAAUCUUGAAUGUAACAUAGAUCUAUCAAUUAAAAGGCAAAAGAAUACCAAAGUUACAAGACUAAUCAAUUAACAAUAUACCACAGGCAAUAUGAUUCUCUUAAACGUAAAGUUGGGAUGAGAGAUUUGAAAGUGUCAAGGGCUUAAGGCUAAAUUAGUUGGAGGGAUAUGAAAUAAAAUUAGAAAAGGAAUCUUGUGACUUAUUGCUCUUUUCUUAAUUUAUUCAUAUUUGUCCAGCCAAUCAAAGUGGUAACAAGUUAGAAACCUUGAUUCUAAGUUCCAAAUGUAGAAUAUCAAAGCUCAUAAGAAUUAGAAACAAAGAGAAGAUUUCAGAGAGUUUUACCUUCACUGGUUUUCUCCAACUCCCAUUAUUUCCAUGUCAAAUGGGGAAAAAUCGUGUUUAAUCCUUUCUUCUCAUCGCUAUUGAAUGUCGAUGUCAACUCGAGCUCAACCCUUUUCCAUACCUCAUCUAGAAAAGAUGGUCCUGAUUCAAAGAUGAAGAAAUAAUGAUUUAUAAAGCGAUCUUAAUUACUUGUGCAAGUUUGACAAUCUGGACCUUUUCCUUUUGUUAUGAUUCACGCAUAUAAUCCAUCGACAAUGAUCAUGAAACAAGAAAAGAAAAGGAAACGUAAGUUACACUCCAGUAUUCAACAACUUACGAUGGAAUCUGUAAGAGUGCAGCAGCCAGCCAAAUUCACACGUUGUUUUUGUGCAGAAACAUAUCGGCACCUAUGUAAAGAUGACAGAUGCAAUGAAAGAUGAGUAAGCAUUCCACCGUAUUCAAACCACAACAGUAAGAGGAAAAAAAAAAACAUCAUCAAGGAGUUACCUCGUCCUGUGCAGGAGAAUCAUAUUGGUGUCAUAGCUAGCCAGAGCACCCAAUAACUUACUUGGAGUUACCUCGUCCUGUGCAGGAGUUACCUUGAUUGAUUCUCGUUUGAUUGCUUCAGUCCAAAUGCUAGAAAUAAAAUAAGGUGUUUAUGAGGAUUAAAGGGUGUGCAAAUAUCACUUCCCCAGAUUUAUGAUCCAACUAUUCGGAAGCUGGCCAGCUUCUCAAGAACGCUUUCUCCUCCGAAUCAGCAGUGCCAUACAGAGAGAAAUCCAAAGAAGGAAACGACUCCCAUAUAGGAGUUUUAUGCAGAAACUGGGGCAGCCUAAUACUGGCAACGUGGAUGCAAACCUACUUUCUCUUCUGAUGUCUAGAAACUUCAAUUAACCUCAGGACAUGAGCUCCAUGCUUUCUUCAAUGCUUUCACAAGGUCUAGAAGAUCUGCGUGUUUUCUUCGUUGCUUUCAGGAGUCUGGGGAACCUGCAAGUUCUCUUCAUUGUUUGCAAACCAAGUUCUGGAGGGCCUCUGGCUUCUCGCCCGUUCUUGCCUGCGAGCUAAGCAAAAAAAUUAAUGCAUCAACAACCAGUUUCCAGAAUGCAUGACCAUAAGGCUGUAUUCUAACAGCCUCACUUAUUUCCUGGCUAUAACAUAAGUCAAUAAUUUCCUUUCCGGAAUGAAAUAAACUUAAAAGUGCCACUUUUCCCAGUUUAUAUUUAAUGAACCUCCUCCUACUGUUUAGAAUUUGUACAUGAAGCGCUAUCAUGGUUCAGAGUUGUUACCAAGAAAAUUUCUAUCAUAUGACGCCUGCUCCAACCAUCCUCGACCAGAAGUGAGCUACACCGUAUCAUCAAUUUCUCCACAGCAUCUUCCUCUAGAACAGUUAAUGAAUCAAAUGGUUGCCUCCAUGAUGGACGACCCUGCAUCAUCCAGAUAAUAAUAAUACAUUAUUAUUCAACCACAAAUAAAGUAACAAUUUGUUAGUCACUCAAAAUAGAAAUAGCACGUUAGAUCUCCCCAAUUUACAGAAGGAGUGAACUUGAACUUGCCACUACAGCAUUUGAAAGUUAUAAGUAUCACAAGCAGACAAUAGCGCCUUACUAGCUCCGCUGUCGUACAUUUUGCCGGUUGACUAUUCCAACCAUCCAAUAUUCCGGCCUUCCAAUCUAUUGAUGAUCUAGUCUAUGUUGAGCAGCCUUAACAGAUGCAAGCUGAAAGCCACUGGAAAAACAGAAAGGAUCCUCACAUAUAUGCGUUUAACUUAGAUUAGUUUUAAGUAGAAACUACAUUCAUUUCGGACAAAGUACCUGUCUUCGUGCAGCCCUCGAGAACAAAUUCCCUGCUUGAUCAUGCUGAAAUGGCCAGGAACGUGUCCUUCAAACUUCUUAAAAUCUGUAGAUACAGUAAACAUGAGACCAUACAUUGCUAAGAUUAAAGGCUUGGACUGUUCGCAGACCUUAUCCAAAGUUAACUAAAUAUGUAUGUAUAUACAAUUACAUAAAUACACGCACAGACACAAAUUACACAAGGAUGCAUACAUAUAAUCGAUAAUCUAUACUUCUACUCACUCUGAAUGCAAUAUCCAUACUUACAACCUCUCAAUCGAAAUCUAACGGUUGACAUCUACAUCCUGGUAGAGAGAACGUUUCUUUUUUGGAAAAUUAUCAGUUAUUGGAUGAAGGCUGGCGAACAAAAACAUUUAUACUUCAAAAGAAUACCUAAGUUACAAGACUAAUCAAUUAACAAUAUACCACAGGCAAUAUGAUUCUCUUAAACGUAAAGUUGGGAUGAGAGAUUUGAAAGUGUCAAGGGCUUAAGGCUAAAUUAGUUGGAGGGAUAUGAAAGACUAGAUGCAAUGCAUUUAGAGGGAUUUGUAAAUGACUGCUUGAAGGGAGACAUUUAUAAAUACUUUGUUUAUGUGUGUAAUGAUCAUGUAGUGCAUUUUAAAUGUCUAUAUCCUUCAUCCAAACAUAGGGUGAGAGAACUAGGAGUUUUAGCAUACACAACUCACUGACAUAGGACAAUACAAAUUAAGGCAAAACAAACAGUGUCAAAAUCCAAAAUGCCUUACUUCUUUGAGUCAUUAUGUGUGCAUUAUGCCCUUAUCAGACUCCUUGCUUUUUUGUUUAUGAAAACUCUGGGAAGACUAUGAACAUCGUGAGGAAAGAAUAUCUCCGCAUAGAAAUCCAAAAAGCCCCAUAAGCGAAGCAUUUCCAAAUUUCUGAGUAUACGAGCACAAGCAUUGCAGGUGAUCCUGAACCAUGUGGCAAAACCUGUUUGCGACGUCUACAUUAAACUCCUAAAAACAAUGCCCGUAUUGUAGGAUUCUCACAGAACAACCUUGAAAUAACCAAGAAGUAUGGCAGACUUCCAUAACGAGCGGAGAUAUAGAGCUCAUGGUUCAGAUUGAUGCCUUGCAUUGGACCUUCGGAAACCCUGAAAUAAAAUUAGAAAAGGAAUCUUGUGACUUAUUGCUCUUUUCUUAAUUUAUUCAUAUUUGUCCAGCCAAUCAAAGUGGUAACAAGUUAGAAACCUUGAUUCUAAGUUCCAAAUGUAGAAUAUCAAAGCUCAUAAGAAUUAGAAACAAAGAGAAGAUUUCAGAGAGUUUUACCUUCACUGGUUUUCUCCAACUCCCAUUAUUUCCAUGUCAAAUGGGGAAAAAUCGUGUUUAAUCCUUUCUUCUCAUCGCUAUUGAAUGUCGAUGUCAACUCGAGCUCAACCCUUUUCCAUACCUCAUCUAGAAAAGACGGUCCUGAUUCAAAGAUGAAGAAAUAAUGAUUUAUAAAGUGAUCUUAAUUACUUGUGCAAGUUUGACAAUCUGGACCUUUUCCUUUUGUUAUGAUUCACGCAUAUAAUCCAUCGAUAAUGAUCAUGAAACAAGAAAAGAAAAGGAAACGUAAGUUACACUCCAGUAUUCAACAACUUACGAUGGAAUCUGUAAGAGUGCAGCAGCCAGCCAAAUUCACACGUUGUUUUUGUGCAGAAACAUAUCGGCACCUAUGUAAAGAUGACAGAUGCAAUGAAAGAUGAGUAAGCAUUCCACCGUAUUCAAACCACAACAGUAAGAGGAAAAAAAAACAUCAUCAAGGAGUUACCUCGUCCUGUGCAGGAGAAUCAUAUUGGUGUCAUAGCUAGCCAGAGCACCCAAUAACUUACUUGGUAUUGUACGAAGUAAUUUAUGUAAGCAAACACUUGUUGCUAUUGGAUGAUAUUGUCCUGAAAUUUAAUUGAUUGAUUAAUUAAACACAGUAUAGCUGACAGUAAACAAUUGAAGUGAAACUUUUACAGAAUCUGAAUCUCGUGUGUACGUACCUGACAUUGACUUGAGAUCUCAAUUGAUGAUGACUUGCUUGCCUAUCUUGAUGCAAGGAAUGUGAGCUAUCUUGCUCCACUCUUCUCCCGUCUUCUCCUGACACCUCUUCAUCAGAGAAGGACAGUUGUAGAUGCGCAAACAAGAGAGCGAUGCCAGCAAAUCCUCUUUUGGCAGGAAUUUGAGACUAUCACACUCGUAAAUUUGGAGCUCUUGAAGAGAAGUGAGGUGUUGAAUUCCCUUUCCCUCCAAAGAUUUCAGACUCGUAAAUUUGGAUGAUAGCGUCCUGAAAUUUAAACAAGUAUGUUUUUUAAUGGUGGUAUAGUUGAGUUAAACAGUUGAAAAGUUAAAACUGAUUGAUUAAUUAAACACUAUAUAUAGAUGACAGCAAACAAUUGAAGUGAAACUUUUACAUGAUCUGAAUCUUGUAUGUUAUUCUAUGAAAAAUGGUGCUAUGUACGUACCUGACUUUGAGUUGAGAUCUCAAAUGAUGACUUGGUCGCCUAUCUCGAUGCAAGGAAUGUGAGCUAUCUUGCUCCACUCUUCUCCUGUCUUCUCCUCACACCCGUAAUACAUGUGUUACACGCGAGAUAUUGACAAAACCCUCAUUAAUUAUUUCCUCACUAACAAGGCGAUAAUUUUGCCAGGAUCAUACAUCCAAGAAUAUGACAACCUGAGUACAAACGAUUUGAUUAUUUUUGCAUCCCAAAUACCACAUAUCCUAUGAUUUCAUCCAAAAACAGUUCAGAAUAUUCAUCUAAAGAACUUAGUUAUGAACAGAGGAGAUCCACAUGAUUUUACGAUGAAGUACAAUUUGACAAAAUAAUUCAUGAUUUACAUAAGAGUAAACGUGUUACCAGUACCACUGCAGCACUUGAAAGUUAAAGUAUCACAAGCAGAUAAUAGGGGCCUUACUAGCUCCGCUUUUUUCCAUGUGCCGGUUGACUCUUCCAACCAUCCAAUAUUCCGGCCUUCCAAUCCAUUGAUGAUGUGGUCGAAUCAACUAGUAUAUAAAAGUAUGGCAUUAAAUAUGAAAAUGCAGAAUGUGGCAGGGCUUAUAUCUCUGGUUUUAUUAAUCUUGUUAUAUACAGGUAGAAAACACUGGAUAUCUGGCAAAACAUUUCCAGGAUGAAGUUCACAUAAAGUCCGUUUUUUCCCAGUUUGCAUGAAAUUCCUACUAAGUAGGUUUGUUCUGCUAUAAGCAAUAAUGUACAUGAUCACACAACUGAGGUUCAGAGUUGUUACCAAGAAAAUUUCUAACAUACGACGGCCUACUCCAACCAUCCUCUAUCAAAAUUAGGUUAAGGCGUAUCAUCAAUUUCUCUGUGGCAUCUUCCACCAAAACAGCUAAUCAAUCAGACAGUCGCCUCCGUAGGGGACGAUCCUGAAGAAUCCAAAUAAAGGUACUUUAUUAGAUUUGGUAUCAAAGUCGGAUGUCAUCUUACAUAUAGAAAUUAGGAAACUUACCUUUUUGUCCUGCUACAACUUUAGAUAUUCAAGUGAUUGCUAAUAAAGUCCACAAUGGUAGAAAAGAAUGAUGUAAUGUCUUAAUUCCUUCGGAUCAGCUUCUGGGAGAAUAAGAUGUUCACAAGCUGUGACAAAGAAGCCUUAGCAGAUGCAAGCUGAACGCCAGUGGAAAAAUACCAAGUAUCCUUAUAUAUGUGCACUUAAGUUGGAUUAGUUUUAAGUAGAAACUACAUUCACUUCGGACAAAGUACCAGUCUUCUUUAUACUUGAUCUAUCAAUAAAGUUAGCAGCACGUGCUGCCUUCAAGAACAAAUUCCCUGGUUGAUCAUGCUGAAAUGGGCCAGAAUGCGCCCUUCAAAUUUUUUUAGAUCUGUACAAACAGUAGACUAUGAGACCAGAUGUAGCUUAAGGUUAAAGCCUUGUACACGUCCGAAGAUCAAUUAUGCAUGUAAAUAAAAUUAUAUAAAGACAAUGUCACACACAAACAAAUGUACACAAAGAUAUAUUUAAUCUUUACCUUGACUCACUUUGAGCACAAAACCCAUGCUUACAACUGCUCAAUUGAAAUCUCAUGGUUGACAUCCUAGCGCAGAGACCUUUAUAAAUACUUUGCUUAUGUUGUAAUGAUCAUGUAGUUCAUUUCAAAUAUCUAUAUCUAAGGUUUUGUAGUUGAUUUCUAACUAAUUUAUCCUAAAUUCUUUAAUACUUUCAAAUCCCUCAUCCAAACGCAGGGUGAGAGAAGUAGGAGUUUUAGCAUACACAACUCAUUGACAUAGGACAAUGCAAAUCAAGGCGAAAAAAAACAGAUCUGUCGACAUGAUAACACAAGUCACCUCACCUCCACUAAAACGGCUUGCGAAGUCAUUAUGUGUGCAUUAUCAGAUUACUUGCUUUUAACCUCUGGGAAGACUAUGAAGAUCAUGACGAAGCAUUUUCAAAAUUUGAGUAUAUGAGCACAAGCAUUGCAGGUGAUCCUGAGCGAUGUGUCAGAACCAGUUUGCAACGUCUACAUUAAACUCCUGAAAACAAUGCCCAUAUUGUAGGGUUCUCACAGAACAACCUUGAGACAACAAACAAGUAAGGCAGACUUCCGUACUGAGUGGAGAGAUAGAGCUCAUGGUUCAGAGUGAUGCCUUGCAUUGGUCCUUCAGAAACCCUGAAAUAAAAUUAAAAAAGGAACCUUGUGACUUAUUGCUCUUUUCUUAAUUUAUUCAUAUUUGUCCAGCCAAUCAAAGUGGUAACAAGUUAGAAACCUUGAUUCUAAGUUCCAAAUGUAGAAUAUCAAAGCUCAUAAGAAUUAGAAACAAAGAGAAGAUUUCAGAGAGUUUUACCUUCACUGGUUUUCUCCAACUCCCAUUAUUUCCAUGUCAAAUGGGGAAAAAUCGUGUUUAAUCCUUUCUUCUCAUCGCUAUUGAAUGUCAAUGUCAACUCGAGCUCAACCCUUUUCCAUACCUCACCUAGAGAAGACGGUCCUGAUUCAAAGAAGAAGAAAUAAUGAUUUAUAAAGUGAUCUUAAUUACUUGUGCAAGUUUGACAAUCUGGACCUUUUCCUUUUGUUAUGAUUCACGCAUAUAAUCCAUUGAUAAUGAUCAUGAAACAAGAAAAGAAAAGGAAACGUAAGUUACACUCCAGUAUUCAACGACUUACGAUGGAAUCUGUAAAAGUGCAGCAGCCAGCCAAAUUCACACGUUGUUUUUGUGCAGAAACAUAUCGGCACCUAUGUAAAGAUGACAGAUGCAAUGAAAGAUGAGUAAGCAUUCCACCGUAUUCAAACCACAACAGUAAGAGGGAAAAAAAACAUCAUCAAGGAGUUACACAACUCACUGACAUAGGACAAUACAAAUUAAGGCAAAACAAACAGUGUCAAAAUCCAAAAUGCCUUACUUCUUUGAGUCAUUAUGUUUGCAUUAUGCCCUUAUCAGACUCCUUGCUUUUUUGUUUAUGAAAACUCUGGGAAGACUAUGAAGAUCGUGAUUCGUGAGGAAAGAAUAUCUCUGCAUAGAAAUCCAAAAGGCCCCAUAAGCGAAGCAUUUCCAAAUUUCUGAGUAUACGAGCACAAGCAUUGCAGGUGAUCCUGAACCAUGUGGCAAAACCUGUUUGCGACGUCUACAUUAAACUCCUAAAAACAAUGCCCGUAUUGUAGGAUUCUCACAGAACAACCUUGAAAUAACCAAGAAGUAUGGCAGACUUCCAUCAUGAGCGGAGAUAUAGAGCUCAUGGUUCAGAUUGAUGCCUUGCAUUGGUCCUUCGGAAACCCU